rnacentral:rRNA from 1 species
CCUACGGGUGGCAGCAGUGAGGAAUAUUGGUCAAUGGACGAGAGUCUGAACCAGCCAAGUAGCGUGAAGGAUGACUGCCCUAUGGGUUGUAAACUUCUUUUAUAUGGGAAUAAAAUGUUCCACGUGUGGGAUUUUGUAUGUACCAUAUGAAUAAGGAUCGGCUAACUCCGUGCCAGCAGCCGCGGUAAUACGGAGGAUCCGAGCGUUAUCCGGAUUUAUUGGGUUUAAAGGGAGCGUAGGUGGAUUGUUAUGUCAGUUGUGAAAGUUUGCGGCUCAACCGUAAAAUUGCAGUUGAAACUGGCAGUCUUGAGUACAGUAGAGGUGGGCGGAAUUCGUGGUGUAGCGGUGAAAUGCUUAGAUAUCACGAAGAACUCCGAUUGCGAAGGCAGUUCACUGGACUGCAACUGACACUGAGGCUCGAAAGUGUGGGUAUCAAACAGGAUUAGAUACCCUUGUAGUC